rnacentral:rRNA from 1 species
GUGGGGAAUAUUGGACAAUGGGCGAAAGCCUGAUCCAGCCAUGCCGCGUGUGUGAAGAAGGUCUUCGGAUUGUAAAGCACUUUAAGUUGGGAGGAAGGGCAGUAAGUUAAUACCUUGCUGUUUUGACGUUACCGACAGAAUAAGCACCGGCUAACUUCGUGCCAGCAGCCGCGGUAAUACGAAGGGUGAAAGCGUUAAUCGGAAUUACUGGGCGUAAAGCGCGCGUAGGUGGUUUUGUAAGUUGGAGGUGAAAUCCCCGGGCUCAACCUGGGAACUGCCUCCAAAACUACUGAGCUAGAGUACGGUAGAGGGUAGUGGAAUUUCCUGUGUAGCGGUGAAAUGCGUAGAUAUAGGAAGGAACACCAGUGGCGAAGGCGACUACCUGGACUGAUACUGACACUGAGGUGCGAAAGCGUGGGGAGCAAACAGGAUUAGAAACCCCUGUAGUCC